UGGAUCUUCAUGUCCCUCCUUCCAACCUUAUUUAAACUUCCCCCUCCCGCUCCCCUCUUACUCCUCACCUCUCUCUCUCUCUCUCUCUCUCUUCCUCAGAUGACUUGGGUUAAUUUAAGCCGUUUCUUGUGGUUUUAAUUGAUGGAUUUGUUGGUGGGUUUCAAUAUUUUGAAUUAGAUUGUACAAAGGAAUGAAGUUAAUUUAUUAGCUUAUAUGGAGUAAAUUAAGAUGUGGGUUUCAUAAGUAUUGUGUAUUGUGUUUAUGUGCAGAAAAAGAAGGAGCUCUCUUCAGUUCAUCCCGAGACAGUAGAGGCUCAAAAGGUUGCUGCUCAUUCGUUAGUUCAAUAGCUUAUUAUACUCAAAAUUUCCACCGUUGAGAUGCCGAAGCUGUGAGAUGAGCUCCUGAUCUAACGAUGGAGGAGCGGUCUUUGAUCAUCACUGUCAUGUAUUGGACUGAAGGGAGCUCCUCCUUAAUUUACUUUUCACACGCAUACUACAACUAACUCAUCCUUUGUCGAGAAUGAUUCAAGAUUUGAAGAGAGCAGAAGCAGUUAAGGAGGGUAGCUUUCUCAGGGUCCAAAGCUUUGGGUGAUGUGUUGCAACUUUGUGAAUCUUCCUUUUAACACUAAUUCUCUUUGUGGUCUUACUAUCAUUAUUUUUUUUUCUUUUUAAUUCAAAUAUUGUUGAAAUUAAAUAAUAAUUUAAAUUUUAUUUGUUUAGCUAUAAACAUUAAUAUACUUUAUGCAUUAAAAUUUUAAAUUUAGAUGUGAAAAUGAACUCAUUGGUUAAAAUGUUACUAUAAUUUUUUAUUUAGAACUAAAAGCAUUAUUUGUAAUAAUUGUCUAUUAAUUGAUCCUUGAAUAAAUUGACAAUAGUUGGAUUCCCAAAAAAAAAAAAAAAAAAUCCUAAUCAUUGUUGUUUUUUUUUUUCAUAAUUGUUAAAGGUAUUAUUGUCUCACCAAAAUUUUGAAAUAAUUUUCAAAAAAAUCAUAAGAAUUAAAUUAAUGAUAAAUUAUAUUUAUAAAUUAUAUUGAAGGCUUGGAGGGUGAAUUUCAAGUUUUUUCAAUUUCUGAAUUUUUUGAUUUAGGAAGGAAGAAUAGAAGGUAAGCAUUUUAGGUUCUUGAUUUAGAUUUUACUUCAAAUUUGAGAGCUUUUCCUAGAAUUAAGGUCUAAAUUUUUAAUAUGUUUCUUACAGGAGGAUUUCGCACAAGUUUUAUGAUAGAUGUUGAAGUUGAUUCGGACUCAUAGACAUAGUUUUAGUGAAUCCCAAAAAAUGGGAAUGAUACAAAAAUUAAAAAAAUAUUGGAAGGAAAACGUUUGAAUGUAAGUGAAGGAGAUGAACCAAAUGAUGACACAUAUCACGAAGAGAGGAGCAAAGCCCCUCGACCUCCGCCAAAGACAUGCGUUAAAUUAUGAGAUGCACAAUGCGUCACAAUGUUAGCGACAAACCCAAAUGAACCGAUCUGACUCGCUCACUCGACUUGAGAGCUAAGGUGCGACUUGGUUUAGCGCUGGCAUACCAAACCACUUGUCUGACCUGACCCACUUGUCUACCUGGAAAAUUGCGUGAAAUCCUAUGUAGCGAAAGAUUGACAUGUCACGUAUUGCCCAGCUAGUGCGACUUCUCCUCCCUAGGGCAUGUGGUACUUGCAUGUGAGGGUUGUGCAUGGGCCACCAUCUAUGCUCAUGUAAGAGCGUGUAGGCGUGUGAGUGACCCCUUUUUGUUUAUUUCGACAUCCAUUCAUAAUUUUUUUUUUA